UACGUAGGGGGCGAGCGUUGUCCGGAAUUAUUGGGCGUAAAGAGCUCGUAGGCGGUUCGGCAAGUCACGUGUGAAAUCUCCACGCUCAACGUGGAGGCGCCACCUGAUACUGCUGUGGCUAGAGUCCAGUAGGGGAGCGUGGAAUUCCCAGUGUAGCGGUGAAAUGCGCAGAUAUCAGGAGGAACACCAAUGGCGAAGGCAGCUCGCUGGAACGGUACUGACGCUGAGGCGCGAAAGCGUGGGGAGCGAACAGG
rnacentral:rRNA from 1 species